CCCCAGCAUGUAUGCAGAACCAGAAAACACUUCUGCUUUCACUCUUAAAGAGGGUCCCCCAACACAGAUGCACCUCUUCCUUUCCUGCAUUAAGCAAAUGAUGCUCCGAUGCUUCUAGGUCUCUCCACCACUGCAAAAUGCUCAGAGAAGUGGAGGGAUUGAAAAGGAAGUUGCCUACUACUCUGAAGGAUACUGGAAAGUCGCCUUCAAAUCUAAAGUGAAGACUUGGGGGCGGGGGAUGCCCCCUUCCUGAAGAGGGAAUGAGGGUCCCUCCCCUAAAAAGGAGCCUCUGUUCGGGUGAAGGCGAUCCCCACCCUGAAAGAGAGGCGUGUAUGUGGAAAGGUGGUGGAAGGUUGUACCCUGAAGAGGAGCCUGGAUUUGAAGAAAUGUCCCAACUCUGAAGGGGGACGGAAUUUCGCUCUGUCGCCCAGGCUAGAGUAGAGUGGAGUGAUCUCGGCUUACUGCAACCUCUGCCUCCCGGGUUCAAGCGAUUCUCCUGCCUCAGUGUCCCAAAUAGCUGGGACUACAGGCUGUCUGCUGCCCUGCAUUGUGAGUUUGCUCAGUGGGCCAGCGUGGCACAGAAGCACAGUUGAGAGACCAGACCCGGGGCCUCUGGAGGAACGUGCUGGUAUCAUCGCUGAAGAGCUUUCUCAAUGCUGGCUGGCUGUUGUCAGGAGCAGUCCUUAGACAGGCUCGCUUCUGGUAGUUCAAAGAAUCAGUGCCCUCUCUAGCCUUGGGAGUCCUAAUGAGCUAUAAUCACAGAGACGCCAGACUAGUCAAAAUUGGAAGAAAGAGCUAUAAUCACAGGAAAAGAACUCUCUCCACAAUUUGAAGUAUCCCAGAAAAAGCAGCAGCAAUGAGGACAGACUUCAAGACAAGCAGAGAGGAGCAGCCAUGGCGGGGCCUGCAGUGGCUACAGGGGGCCUCUAUAGCGUGAAAUGACAUCAGAAAAGGACCUGAGUGGCCCAAGAAAGGGAGGACGGAAAGUCAAGGAGGAAAGUAAGCAGGAGUUGAAUUUAGGAGUAAAUGCUACGGUGAUUAUGACUCACAGCCUCAUGGUCCUCAAGGCUGGAGUGGCGUUGGAGAAACCAGGUCAUAGUUGUAUAACCAAGGUACUCUGCAGGAUGGACUAUGGAGCUGCCUCCUGCAGCCACAGGUGAUCAAAAUGAGGUCUGUGUGACGGAGCCUGCAGCGAGGCAAGAUGGCUGCCUCAAACAAGUCCAUAUUUCAUCUCUCCUCCUAACCUCCUGCCUGCCAAAGCUCUGGCAGGGAACUCAUUACAACAAAGCAUGCAUGCACCCUAAUUACCUGUCAUACUUCUCUGUUGCUGGACCAGACCCUAUAAGAGAAUUCCAAAGAAUUUAUUUUUAUGGGAACAAAAUGCAGUAAUUGAUGUUGCAAUCCUGCCCAAAUCACUGAACAGAUCCUUUAACAUCCAAAUUCCCUAAAACAGCUUUGACUUACUACACACUUCACAUGCCAGCUAGUGUUUGAAGUGCGUGUAGCCGCCCCCAUGAAGCCCUUUCUUACUGUAAGUGCUCAAGAACAAAGAUAUUUCUUAAACUUCCUUUGAUUCUCAUAAAAUAAAAAUAGCCAUUACAUAAUAAAGCACAAAGCUCCAUGGGUUAAGAAGUCCCUGAUGUUUUUCCUGCCUUCGGUCAUUUUCUUUGUUUAAAGCAUUUAGAAACAGUGAAUGUUCA
rnacentral:lncRNA from 1 species